rnacentral:rRNA from 1 species
GAUGAACGCUAGCGGCAGGCUUAACACAUGCAAGUCGAGGGGCAGCGUGGAGCAGCAAUGCUCUGACGGCGACCGGCGGAAGGGUGCGUAACACGUGAGCGACUUGCCCGUCACAGGGGGAUAACCGGCGGAAACGGCGACUAAUACCCCAUACGAUGUGAUGCUGCAUGGCAUUGCAUUGAAAGAUUCAUCGGUGGCGGAUAGGCUCGCGGGACAUUAGCUAGACGGCGGGGCAACGGCCCACCGUGGCGACGAUGUCUAGGGGUUCUGAGAGGAAGGCCCCCCACACUGGGACUGAGACACGGCCCAGACUCCUACGGGAGGCAGCAGUGAGGAAUAUUGGUCAAUGGGCGGAAGCCUGAACCAGCCAUGCCGCGUGAAGGACUAAGACCCUACGGGUCGUAAACUUCUUUAGACGCAGAGCAAUAAGGUCCACGCGUGGACCGAUGAGAGUAUGCGUAGAAUAAGCAUCGGCU